rnacentral:rRNA from 1 species
GUCGCACGCAGAGUGCUUGCACUCUGAGUGGCGCACGGCUGAGGAUCACGUGGGAACAUGCCUCCUUGUGGGGGACAACCCCGCGAAAGCGGGGCUAAUCCCGCAUACGCUCGGCAACGAGGAAAGCGGUAACGCGCAGGGAGAGUGGCCCGCGGCCCAUCAGGUUGUUGGUGGGGUAAUGGCCUACCAAGCCGGUGACGGGUAGCUGGUCUGUGAGGACAGACAGCCAGACUGGGACUGAGACACGGCCCAGACUCCUACGGGAGGCAGCAGCAAGGAAUUUUCGUCAAUGGGCGCAAGCCUGAACGAGCAACGCCGCGUGGAGGAUGACGGCCUUCGGGUUGUAAGCUCCUUUUUCGGGGGACGAUGAUGACGGUACCCCGGGAAUAAGGCUCGGCUAACUCUGUGCCAGCAGCCGCGGUAAUACAGAGGAGCCAAGCGUUGUCCGGAUUGACUGGGCGUAAAGCGCACGCAGGCGGCUGCGCGCGUGGGGUGUGAAAUCUGGCCGCUUAACGGCCAGGCGCCAUCCCAUACGGCGCGGCUGGAGGGCUGCGGAGGUCGAUGGAAUUGCCGGUGUAGUGGUGAAAUGCGUAGAGAUCGGCGGGAACACCCAGGGGGAAACCAGUCGACUGGGCAGCACCUGACGCUGAGGUGCGAGAGCGUGGGGAGCGAACCGGAUUAGAUACCCUGGUAGUCCACGCCCCUAAACUAUGUCAACUGGUUGUCGGGGGAUUGAUUCCCUUGGUAACGAAGCUAACGCGUGAAGUUGACCGCCUGGGGAGUACGGUCGCAAGAUUAAAACUCAAAGGAAUUGACGGGGACCCGCACAAGCGGUGGAUUAUGUGGAUUAAUUCGAUGCAACGCGAAAACCUUACCUACCCUUGACUUGUAGCGAACCUCGCAGAGAUGUGAGGGUGCCCGAAAGGGACGCUAACACAG